GAGGGCAUAGCUCAGUGACAGAGUGACUGCUUAGCAUGUACGAGGUCCUAGGUUCAAUCCCUAGUACCUCCA
rnacentral:tRNA from 1 species